rnacentral:rRNA from 1 species
GAUGAACGCUAGCUACAGGCUUAACACAUGCAAGUCGAGGGGAAACGGCAUCGAAAGCUUGCUUUUGAUGGGCGUCGACCGGCGCACGGGUGAGUAACGCGUAUCCAACCUGCCCAUCACUUGGGAAUAACCUUGCGAAAGUAAGACUAAUGCCCAAUGACAUCCCACGAAGGCAUCCGAAUGGGAUUAAAGAUUUAUCGGUGAUGGAUGGGGAUGCGUCUGAUUAGCUUGUUGGCGGGGUGACGGCCCACCAAGGCAACGAUCAGUAGGGGUUCUGAGAGGAAGGUCCCCUACAUUGGAACUGAGACACGGUCCAAACUCCUACGGGAGGCAGCAGUGAGGAAUAUUGGUCAAUGGGCGAGAGCCUGAACCAGCCAAGUAGCGUGCAGGAUGACGGCCCUAUGGGUUGUAAACUGCUUUUAUAAGGGAAUAAAGUGGGUCACGUGUGACUUUUUGCAUGUACCUUAUGAAUAAGGACCGGCUAAUUCCGUG